UACAGCCAUAUCACAUUGAAACAUCAGUUCUUGUAUGAUCACCAAAGUUAAGCAACAUUGAGCUUGAUCAGUACCAAAAUGGGUAACUGCUUGUGAAUACUAGGUGCUGUAA